UAUAUUUGCGCUUCCAUUUUAAAAUAAAACUGGUUACAUAAGAAUUAUUUACAAAAAUAUUGGCAUG
ncrna:unclassified sequences S15-Flavobacteria ribosomal protein leader